AACGAACGCUGGCGGCAGGCUUAACACAUGCAAGUCGAACGCCCCGCAAGGGGAGUGGCAGACGGGUGAGUAACGCGUGGGAAUCUACCCAGAUCUUCGGAACAACUGAGGGAAACUUCAGCUAAUACCGGAUACGCCCUACGGGGGAAAGAUUUAUCGGUUCUGGAUGAGCCCGCGUUGGAUUAGCUAGUUGGUGGGGUAAUGGCCUACCAAGGCGACGAUCCAUAGCUGGUCUGAGAGGAUGAUCAGCCACACUGGGACUGAGACACGGCCCAGACUCCUACGGGAGGCAGCAGUGGGGAAUAUUGGACAAUGGGCGAAAGCCUGAUCCAGCCAUGCCGCGUGAGUGAUGAAGGCCUUAGGGUUGUAAAGCUCUUUCAGUGGGGAAGAUAAUGACGGUACCCACAGAAGAAGCCCCGGCUAACUUCGUGCCAGCCGCCGCCGUAAAAC
rnacentral:rRNA from 1 species